rnacentral:rRNA from 1 species
UACGUAGGGUGCAAGCGUUAAUCGGAAUACUGGGCGUAAAGCGUGCGCAGGCGGUUAUGUAAGACAGGUGUGAAAUCCCCGGCUUAACCUGGGAACUGCAUUUGUGACUGCAUAGCUAGAGUACGGUAGAGGGGGAUGGAAUUCCGCGUGUAGCAGUGAAAUGCGUAGAUAUGCGGAGGAACACCGAUGGCGAAGGCAAUCCCCUGGACCUGUACUGACGCUCAUGCACGAAAGCGUGGGGAGCAAACAGG